ensembl:lncRNA
UGCCUGGUUUACUCCAGCCGCUAACCUCCGAUGCUGGAGCUGGUUAUUACAACCCACAGGCACACACAUACCAGGGCUGGCUGACCCCUAACUUGUCCUGAUGGACUUCAUCUGGGGACCGACACCACACCACCCAGCACUGGAAUUUCAUUCCAAGCCUCCAGGAGUGACGCAACUUGGCCUGGGGUGCCCAGCUGCCGGAUGGUAACACAGCCGCCUCAUCUAGACCCUGAUCUGGGACCCAAGCUGGAGAAUCGCAGUCCACCUUGCCUGGGGUCUAGCGGGCCGAGAAGCUCGUGGCCUGGGGUCUCCUGAGCACACUAGUUCCAGAAGCUUUGGCUGGGCAAGCUAGGGGCUGCGGAGAGGCAGCUGUGAGCCGGCUGCUUCAGGCCGGAGCCCAGGGCCAGCCUGGGUCGUGUUGCUUAGCAACGGGACCGGGUCUGGGCCUCUGCCCUCCGCAUCCUUAUCCCCUUCCCCCAUUGAGGCUCAACCCAGCCCUUGCUCCAAAGCCGAGGGAGUGGCCCAGGCGGGUCUGGUGUGGAGCUUGGAAGGGGGGGGGGGCUCGCUCAGGUGCAGAAGGGGCUGCUGUGUCUGUGUGUGACUUAGGGACCUGCAGGGCCCCAGGCAGAGACGGCUUCCGCCCUGGCUCUGCCAGCUCCAGUUCAAACGAGUCUUUCCGGCGGGGCUGCCCAGCCUGAGCUGCCCCGCCCGCCCCAGCCUCUCGGAACCGGCCGGGAGACGUGCUGCACCCCGCCCAGGCCGCAGGCGAGCUCUGAGGGAGCGAAGGCCCCAAAGGAAGGUACCCCGGAGCCUGCCUAACCUUGACUCCGACUUGCAAUGGACGUUUGAUCAAGAAAGUUGGCCGGGAUUAAGGAGUUAUGGUACCACAGCCAAUCUUUCCAGGGUUCAGUUUGUAAACCUAUGCUGGAGCCCGUGGCUGAGGCCUGGGACACCCGGGCCUCUCCGCAGGCUGCAUACAUUCCCCGUUACUUGCCCGUCCAGCUAAUGACACUGGGGAUCUCUGCUUGACCUCCGGGCAUCAUGGAGCUCACAUCUGGAGAUCAGAUCAGAAAAUGACGGAGGAGGAAGCUCCUGAAGAGACGUAUGGCUGAGCUGCGGCGCUGUGGUUUGCCAUGAGUGCUGACUUGGAGAAACAUCGCCUGCACAAUGCCAGUUCGUGUUCUGUGAAGCGAGAUGGCUAGGCUGGCUUCACAGAACAGGGAGGGGUCAUACCUAGUCCCGAUAUUCUUUGAUAAUUGCCUGCUGAAGAGCAUGUUUUCCUGAGUCCAUUUCUCCACCGAGUUGGGAAACUCCUGGACUUCCUGCUUUCAUCCCUUCCUUUGUUAGAGAAAUCACCCUGGCUCCAGCUGUUGGUCUGAAUCUCUCGGUUAUAUUUGGAGACCAAGACAUGAUCAGGCCAUGCAACUGUGGGGAGUGAGUGAUGUCUUUUGGGAUCAAAGUUUUUGUUGUUGUUGUUUUGUUUUUUCCUGUGCAUCCAAUUUCCCCAGCCGUUUCACUAAGUGGCUUUAGCUGUACAGUUACUGGUCAUCUUGUCCAGCGUUAGUAAUUGAGAACACUUGUGCCUCAGAGUGUGCACGCCUGCAGUCAAUGCCCUCAAGUCCCCUAGUCUUUGUUCCCUUCCGCUAAUGCACACAAGGUCACGAGUGUAACCUGGCCUUCAGGUUGACCAGAUGACUUGGAUAGCUUUGCCAUACCAGGCCCAGCUUUGCUCUGUCAAGGAAGAGCCUGAAACAGGAGUAGGCGGGCAGCUAGCUGGCUGUCUCACUUCUGCACUCAGCACAGCAAGCAUUUUUACGUCAUCUAUUUAUCCUUCACAACUUUUCAGUGUUUAUGGAUGUUCACACUUUAAAGAUUUAUAUGUUUUUUAUUUUAUGUAUAUGAGUUUGUAUAUUAUGGAUACCGUGUUCAUGCAGUGCCUUUGUAGGGCAAAAGAGGGAGUCACGGAGUGCUGUGAGCCACCGUGUGAGCGCUGAGAACUUAACCCUGGUCCUCUGCGAGCAAGAGCAGCCAACACUUUCAACAACCGAGCAAUCCUCCAGCCCUGGAUGUUUGCACAUUAGAGAGUGAUUUAUGAGACUUUUAAUGGUUUAGUCAGACUUGGAGUUGCUAUGACAACGCCCCUGACAGAUACACAUGGAGGAGGAAGUGGUUAUUUUGGCUCACAGUUGCAGGGGAUUCAGUCCACAGUCACUUGGCCAGAUGUGAGGAGCCGGGAGAGCCCAUGGCAGUUAGAGCCAUGAAGGGAGACACUGUUUACCUUAUGGAGGACAGGAAGCAGGAAGUGAUGGAGGAAGUAGAAGAAAAAAAAGGGAAGAAAGGGGAGGAGGAGGAGCCCUGAACAAGAUUCAGCCCUCUUGAACUGGUGUGGUGGCGCACGCCUUUCACCUCGGCACUCUGGAGGCAGAGGCAAGCAGAUCUCUGUGAGGUCAAGGCCAACCUGGGCUACACACAUAAUUCUGGGCCAGUGGCAUGGUGGGCAUAGGGAGACUCGUUUCAAAACAAAAACAGAAAGGAAGGAAGAAAGAAAGAAAGAGAGAGAGAGAGAGAAAGAGAGAGAGAGAGAGAGAGAGAGAGAAAGAAAGGGAAGGACAGAGGGAAGAAGGAAGCCCCACAAACAUGUCCCCAGUGACCCACUCCCUCCAACCAGACUCUAUCUCCUAAAGUUUCCAGAACUUUCCAACACAGUACAACAAGCUAGGAACCAAGCAUUAAAUACAUGAGCCUAUGGAGGGCAUUUCAGAUUCAAACCAUAACAAUAAAU